UUUCCGUAGGUGAACCUGCGGAAGGAUCAUUAUUGUAUAACCGAGGGGCGAGGGCUGUCGCUGACCCGAAAGGUCGUGCACGCCCGAGUGCCCUCACACACAUCCAUCUCACCCCUAUGUGCACCACCGCGUGGGUCCCCCUUUGGCGUGUUCGGAGGGGGGCUUACGUUUUCACACAAACUUUGUAUGCAGUGUAGAAUGUAUUUUUUGUUUUUGCGAUCACGCAAUCAAUACAACUUUCAACAACGGAUCUCUUGGCUCUC
rnacentral:misc_RNA from 1 species